rnacentral:rRNA from 1 species
UACGUAGGGCGCAAGCGUUGUCCGGAAUUAUUGGGCGUAAAGAGCUCGUAGGCGGUUUGUCGCGUCUGGUGUGAAAACUCAAGGCUCAACCUUGAGCUUGCAUCGGGUACGGGCAGACUAGAGUCCGGUAGGGGAGCGUGGAAUUCCUGGUGUAGCGGUGAAAUGCGCAGAUAUCAGGAGGAACACCAGCGGCGAAGGCGGCGCUCUGGGCCGGUACUGACGCUGAGGAGCGAAAGCGUGGGGAGCAAACAGG